AGUCGAGCGGAUGAGAAGAGCUUGCUCUUCGAUUCAGCGGCGGACGGGUGAGUAAUGCCUAGGAAUCUGCCUGGUAGUGGGGGACAACGUUUCGAGAGGAACGCUAAUACCGCAUACGUCCUACGGGAGAAAGCAGGGGACCUUCGGGCCUUGCGCUAUCAGAUGAGCCUAGGUCGGAUUAGCUAGUUGGUGAGGUAAUGGCUCACCAAGGCGACGAUCCGUAACUGGUCUGAGAGGAUGAUCAGUCACACUGGAACUGAGACACGGUCCAGACUCCUACGGGAGGCAGCAGUGGGGAAUAUGGGACAAUGGGCGAAGGCCUGAUCCAGCCAUGCCGCGUGUGUGAAGAAGGUCUUCGGAUUGUAAAGCACUUUAAGUUGGGAGGAAGGGCAUUAACCUAAUACGUUAGUGUUUUGACGUUACCGACAGAAUAAGCACCGGCUAACUCUGUGCCAGCAGCCGCGGUAAUACAGAGGGUGCAAGCGUUAAUCGGAAUUACUGGGCGUAAAGCGCGCGUAGGGGGUAUGUUAAGUUGGAUGUGAAAGCCCCGGGCUCAACCUGGGAACUGCAUCCAAAACUGGCAAGCUAGAGUACGGUAGAGGGUGGUGGAAUUUCCUGUGUAGCGGUGAAAUGCGUAGAUAUAGGAAGGAACACCAGUGGCGAAGGCGACCACCUGGACUGAUACUGACACUGAGGUGCGAAAGCGUGGGGAGCAAACAGGAUUAGAUACCCUGGUAGUCCACGCCGUANACGAUGUCAACUAGCCGUUGGAAUCCUUGAGAUUUUAGUGGCGCAGCUAACGCAUUAAGUUGACCGCCUGGGGAGUACGGCCGCAAGGUUAAAACUCAAAUGAAUUGACGGG
rnacentral:rRNA from 1 species